UGCAUCUAAAAGAUUGAAGUAUCUAACCAGCCUUUUUAGCAUAACCAUACUUCAAGGUUUGCUAAAUAUUGAUUGGUUUUCUUCCACCUAUUUGGUUCUUGCUGAAUGCAUUGCAUGAUUCUCCCAUUUUUAAGGGACUGAGUCCUAUGAGGGUAGCUUCCUUAGUUAUUCAUAUAAGGUUGUUCUCUGUAUCACUGUUGUAACCAACAGAUGUUUCCAUUUUCAGUAGAAUUCAGUACACUGAGUAACCUGCCUUCUCCUAUCAUAUUUGUUUCUUUCUUACUUCUUGUUAUAACAUUUGGUCCAACAUGCCUGAUCAAUCUUGUGGGGGGAAGUGGAUGUGAGGGAUCAAUGUGCUGGUUGGAGAGGAUAUGCCAAAUGUCCAAUUGAAUUGACGUGUUGAAAGCUCAAAUUGCAAACGUGGUUGCUAAAUGGGGGAGUUUCAAUGCUCAAUUGAUUCCAUGAUGGAGAAGAUGCUACAGCAGAACUCCAUAUUAUAGGAAGUAUGAAAUGGGAUUGGCAACCUGGGGAUAAUUCAGCUAAUGAGCUUAGGCCUCAAACUGAUUCAGAGUUUGAUUUAACCUAUGAAGCACAAAUAUGACAGCUGAAGGAGGUAUCAGGUGUCCGACACUAACAUGUGACAGACAAGUGUUUGACACGUUUUUGCAGUGAUAAUUUUUUUUCCUGCUUUGAUUCGGUGACAGCAGUUCCCGCACUUGUCCGUUCACGUUCUCCAAUACGUUGACAUCACUGGUUCUCAUCCAUUUGUCGGCAUCUCCGGUUCGCGUUCGUUUGUCUUGCUUCUCUGGGGUGUGCCUGGUGCGUGUCAAGCUAAAUGGGCCAUGUCGAAGCUGGAAAACAAAAUUUGGACACUGCAAAAAUGUGUUUGUUGCGUGUCGGUGUUGAGGCCGUGUCGGACACCUAACCACCUCUGUCAGCCACUGUGUCCAGGCUUCAUAGGUAGAAGGAAGAAAGAAGAAACUCUGUAUUCUGCAAGAAACAAAUAUUUAGCAGAACCGCACUCUUCUAAGGAAUUGUUACAUUGGUUAUACUUGAGUGUUUAUCGUGAUGAGCUUCAAUGGAAAUGUGUUGGACAAUGCUUGGUUUUCCCUUUUACCAAUGUUGUGAGCUCAACUUUAUUAUUAUGUUUUAGUAUACCCAAAAGUUAUGACUUCUGUGUAUGUAGCUAAAGUUUUUCUUUAUUGUUGCUUUCAACAUGUGCUCAACUGCAGGAACAUCGCCCUCUUGUCAUUUGUUUCAUAAUUAUUUACUCCUUUACUUAAUUAUGUGUCUCCCAUUGUU